CACCCAACCCACCUUCUACCCGGACUCCAAAUCGCUUCAUCCUCUGCUGCAUGCUUCAUUAUCGCCGGUGAUUAUGGACUGCCGACGAGAAACUGAAGUAGAAGGAGAUGAAGACUGCGAGUUCCGAUCAGACCUCCAAAGUCAACAGCUCAUUUUCAGUAUCACUGCUGCUUUGGGAUCACGCGGUAAUGGCGAAGAAGCUUCUCCUCACCGCGUCUCAACACAAUCCGGCUCGCUUAAACCUGUUCUGCUCAGAAACGCCGCCUGUGUCCGCCGCCACCGAGUUCACUCCUCAGUGUUGUAGAAGAUCUGGUGCUUGUAACUGCAGUUGCAAUUUCCCAUUUAUAACCCGCAUCGAAACCAAGCCUGAUCUGCGUUUUGAUAUCUGCAAUCCUGAUUUUCCUCUUUGCCUUGUUCCUGUCCGUUGAAUUCUUUUGAUUUGCAAAAUAUUUCAUUGGUACAUCCCACUCUUUUAGCUGUGUGACCUCAAUAUUAUCCCCGAAUUUAACACUAGUGUUUCACAUUCGUCUCUAAAGCAUUUUUCGAGGAAUAUUCCUUAACAGCACGCUGACGUGUAUGGAGAGGGGCCACCUUGGAUAGGUAACGGUUAUCUGAUGUAGCAGUUAUCUUUAUUUAACUCAAUUUAGUCCCUGAAAUCAUUUAUAACCCUAAUCUCUAAUUUAUCACGAGAAACCAGACUGUUUCUUCUUCUCUGCUCUCCUUCGUCUUCUCUGACACCGUUGAGCUUGAGUUGAGUGGAGUGGGUCAUGAUGGGUGGAGGCAGCAACCAUAUUAGUAGCUCCAGUAACCGACGUUCAGAGAAAAGCUGUGGGAGGAGAACCACCAGAAGUAGUCAGGAACGAGUUCUAGAUAGGUGUGGGUGUGGUAGCCGACCCGUCCUAAAGUGGUCAGGAACAGAGGCGAAUCCAGGGAGACCAUUUUAUGGUUGUCCUAACUACAAUUUGCAGAGUAUUGGUAAGAGGUAGUGUGGUCUCUUUAUGUGGGCUGACAAAUUGGCUGAUGAAGAAGAAGAAAGUGACAGAGGUAAUUAUGGCUUUGAAAUGGAGGAGUGGAGAAUGAAAUUUGCUUGGAAACUUAGAAAGUUGGAGUGUGAAGUUAAGGCUCUAAAACUAGCAUUUUGUUUGUUGUUGGUUGUUGUUACAGUAAUUGUAAUUGUUGUUUGUGUAGUAUGGAAGCAGUGAUUUACAAUUGAAUAUUGUGUAAAACAAAAGUUGUAAUUGCUGUACCUUAUGAUGAAGAAAUGAAGAAAUGAAUAGAUUUGUGUAA